rnacentral:misc_RNA from 1 species
GAUGAAGAACGCAGCGAAAUGCGAUAAGUAAUGUGAAUUGCAGAAUUCAGUGAAUCAUCGAAUCUUUGAACGCACAUUGCGCCCUCUGGUAUUCCGGGGGGCAUGCCUGUUCGAGCGUCAUUAUAACCACUCAAGCUCUCGCUUGGUAUUGGGGUUCGCGGUUUCGCGGCCCCUAAAAUCAGUGGCGGUGCCUUUCGGCUCUACGCGUAGUAAUACUUCUCGCGAUUGAGUUCGAUAGGUCUACUUGCCAGUAACCCCCAAUUUUUACAGGUUGACCUCGGAUCAGGUAGGGAUACCCGCUGAACUUAAGCAUAUCAAUAAGCGGAGGA